rnacentral:rRNA from 1 species
GCGUGCUUAAACAUGCAAGUCGAACGAACCUUCGGGUUAGUGGCGGACGGGUGAGUAACGCGUGGGAAUCUGCCCUCAGGAGGGGGAUAACGGUUGGAAACGGCCGCUAAUACCCCAUAUGCCGAGAGGUGAAAUGAAUUUCGCCUGAGGAUGAGCCCGCGUCUGAUUAGCUAGUUGGUGAGGUAAGAGCUCACCAAGGCAUCGAUCAGUAGCUGGUCUGAGAGGAUGAUCAGCCACACUGGGACUGAGACACGGCCCAGACUCCUACGGGAGGCAGCAGUGGGGAAUUUUCCGCAAUGGGCGAAAGCCUGACGGAGCAACGCCGCGUGAGGGAUGAAGGCCUCUGGGCUGUAAACCUCUUUUAUCAAGGAAGAAGAUCUGACGGUACUUGAUGAAUAAGCCACGGC